rnacentral:lncRNA from 1 species
AUUCUCCCGUGACGGUGACUCCAACGGUUGGCUGAGGACGAUUCCCUGAGCCUUGACAAAGCAGGAGCCCUCCGUGGCGGUGCGUCGGUGUCGAGGCUCCAGUCUGACUAAUCCAGGGGGUCGACAAAACAGAUUCGGGACACUAUGCUACACGGAGGGCCUACCAGGAUGCAGAAACAGCAGACGGAGUCCAGGGAAAGCAGUGCGGCAUCCCAGCCUCAGGCCUGCCCGUACGGUGUUCGGACGGAAUGAAGUUGAUAAUAGUGAGACCUUGUUGGUACAAGACUAUGUAACAUAACCUGCGCUUCUCAACAAAGAAUUGCUUUUCUGACUUCUGCACUCAAUAGCAAGACAAAUCUCUCCUCUGCCUUCUCCUUAUCAGACUACUCAACAUGAAGGCAAUAAGAAUGAAGACCUCUAUGUAUAAUAAUUGACUUCCACUUAAUAAAUAAGGUUACUUGGUACACUGGUCGACAAAACCUUGAAAUGUUGAUGUUUAAGGGCUGUUGAUUGCUGGCAGCAAAGAAGUCCAACUGUGCUGGUACCCGAGAUAGCGUCUCCACAUUUUCUUCCAGGAUCAUCACCUUUGUUCUAAAUAGCUCCCACAUAGUGUGAACAGAAGUCAUAUGUUUUAGAUUUUCUGCCUUGGCACCCAGGAAACCAGUAUGAUUGAGUAAACAUAUUAAACUUCCUCUGCAUUUCCAGCCUGAACAGAUGUUGAGUACAAGCUGAUCCACCUACGUUCAACCUGAGAGAGUCCACAUCCACAGACUGUUUCAUUUCCCUUUUUCAAUUUACAUAGAAGCAUAGAUUCUUGCUGGCAUAUACAAAUGCGCCAUUUAAGGCAAUCAAAAAUGGUUCCACAUCUCAUCUGAUUUCCACAAUUGUUGCUGUAACGAUGGACUACUGAGGAGAGAGACAAUUUCUCUGGCACAUCUUCCCACAUUUUAGCAACAUGUUCAUGGAGAGCCAAUAUUCAGUAAUUACAGCCCAAUUCCUCACAAUUUCACAAUUCGCUAACAAUAUGCAUUUUCACAAUGUAAAGCUGAUUUUCCUUUAACCAAAUCAAACAUGAAAAGAUAGCUGCAUGCAAUGGGCAAUCUAGAUCAUUAGAAGAUUGAUGUAAAAUUAGAGGACACUGAGACUGGAAUAGAUUGCAAACUUCAGGGAGCUCAGAAAACUUGUAAACUCUACAUUUUGAGGAAAUAUGUUGUCGAUGCUUUUGCAACUCUAUGCAGUAACUUAACAAAUAAAGCCUUAAAGUAACUUAUCUACGA